GAUGAAGAACUUAGCGAAAUGCGAUAAGUAAUGUGAAUUGCAGAAUUCAGUGAAUCAUCGAAUCUUUGAACGCACAUUGCGCCCGCCAGCAUUCUGGCGGGCAUGCCUGUUCGAGCGUCAUUUCAACCCUCGAGCCCCCCCGGGGGCCUCGGUGUUGGGGGACGGCACACCAGCCGCCCCCGAAAUGCAGUGGCGACCCCGCCGCAGCCUCCCCUGCGUAGUAGCACACACCUCGCACCGGAGCGCGGAGGCGGUCACGCCGUAAAACGCCCAACUUUCUUAGAGUUGACCUCGGAUCAGGUAGGAAUACCCGCUGAACUUAAGCAUAUCAAUAAGCGGAGGA
rnacentral:misc_RNA from 1 species